GACGAACGCUGGCGGCGUGCUUAACACAUGCAAGUCGAACGGAAAGGCCCUGCUUUUGUGGGGUGCUCGAUUGGCGAACGGGUGAGUAACACGUGAGUAACCUGCCCUUGACUUUGGGAUAACUUCAGGAAACUGGGGCUAAUACCGGAUAGGAGCUCCUGCUGCAUGGUGGGGGUUGGAAAGUUUCGGCUGUUGGGGAUGGACUCGCGGCUUAUCAGCUUGUUGGUGGGGUAGUGGCUUACCAAGGCUUUGACGGGUAGCCGGCCUGAGAGGGUGACCGGGCACAAUGGGACUGAGAGACGGACCAGACGCCUAUGGGCGGCAGCAGUCGGGAGUAUUGCACAAUGGGCGGAAGCCUGAUGCAGAAACGCCGCGUGCGGGAUGACGGCCUACGAGGUGUAAACAGAUGUCGCAUGUGACGAAGCGUGAGUGACGGUAAUGAGUAAAAAAGCACCGGCUAACUACGUG
rnacentral:rRNA from 1 species